GGGGAAUAUUGGACAAUGGGGGGAACCCUGAUCCAGCCAUGCCGCGUGUGUGAAGAAGGCCUUAUGGUUGUAAAGCACUUUAAGCGAGGAGGAGGCUCUUUUGGUUAAUACCCAAGAUGAGUGGACGUUACUCGCAGAAUAAGCACCGGCUAACUCUGUGCCAGCAGCCGCGGUAAUACAGAGGGUGCGAGCGUUAAUCGGAUUUACUGGGCGUAAAGCGUGCGUAGGCGGCUUUUUAAGUCGGAUGUGAAAUCCCCGAGCUUAACUUGGGAAUUGCAUUCGAUACUGGGAAGCUAGAGUAUGGGAGAGGAUGGUAGAAUUCCAGGUGUAGCGGUGAAAUGCGUAGAGAUCUGGAGGAAUACCGAUGGCGAAGGCAGCCAUCUGGCCUAAUACUGACGCUGAGGUACGAAAGCAUGGGGAGCAAAC
rnacentral:rRNA from 1 species